rnacentral:lncRNA from 1 species
GAGACAAUGGGCCACAGGGCAGAGAUGUUGUUGGCACAGCCUAGACCAUUGAUGGGAACUGAGGUCACAAAGGUAGAGGUUAUGCAGGAGCUGGAAACAACACAGGAGCAGCGCUAACUGCCAGAGACCCCCUGAAAUGGACAGAGAGAGGGAAAAAUGUUCUGCCUACUCUCCCUUUUCUACUCUCCACCUUCCUCUAGUAUCUCCCACUAACUAUAACUACCUGGAAGCCCAUUGACAAGGGAGCUGGAAAAUGCAGUUUUCAGGGAUUAGACUUCUCUCCAUUCCCCUGAUUCCCCUUCCCUGUGCCACGUGUCAUGCAGAGCUGAGCAGGGAAAGGGAGAGAAACAUACAGGAGGGCAAAUACAUAAGUGGACUUGCAGUACCCUUACGGAAGGAAUUGAAGAGCUUCGCUAAAAUGGUACAAGAAAGGUGAUUAUAAACAUUUACAUUUGUAGUUGGGGAUGAAAGAUUUGAACUGUGCCUACCAGAGGGUCCUGAUCUGAAAAGAGGGUGAUAAUAGAAUACAGUAUGAGACAUUUCUGUUGAUGGGUAAGAAUCAUCACUCUGAAACAAGGCUGCCUGAAUCUGGAUCCUGGCUCUACCGCUUUCCAGCAACAUUGUGAGGAUUCAGCAAGUCUAGAAUUAUAAUCCCUAAUAUUUAUUUUUUAAGUAAAGGAUGGGAUGUCUGCUAAUUUCAAGUCAGCACCAAACUGGUUCUGGAGGCUGUGAAGUCUGAGGUCAAUGGCCCACAUCUGGUGAAGGCCUGCUCGCUAGUGAGGACUCUCUGGAGAGUUCCAAAUUGGCACAUAGCAUCAUAUGGUUUCUCUCACAUCGACAUAGAAACUCUGCUGACAUUGAUGACUUGCCUGGUGGUGUGAUACAGAUGAUCAUUCAUGAAGGGUCUGAGCCCCUUGCUACUACACCCUGUUCAGGCCUGGAUUGCUGCAUGUAUUAUGACAAUGGAAAUUGAGUACCAAAGAAACAUCCUAGAGGCUUAACUGGGGACCACACAUAGUCCUUUUUGUCCCCAUGGGAUAUAAGUCACCAUAUGUCCUCUUGAUGAUCAGCAUCGAUUAUCCCUGACAGAGUGGUGACUCCUUUUAUUACCUUCUGGUUCUUUCACACAAGGAGCCAGGAAUGCCAAGGCAGCAGUCACAGUUUAUAAUUAAAUGUUAAUCUUGCUGAGUCCUCUGGCAUAAAUGUUCUCCAUUUGGAACUGAAGACCUCUGAACCUGCAAAUUCCACAGUUUUAGGGAUAAGAAUAUUUUAUAAGUGAGUGUCCGAGUUGAUGAGAAGAACUUCUUGGUUCCCAGAUUCAUCUCUUCUUGCUAUAGAAAUGCAGCAUUAUAUAAAUGUCUUUUAAUUCAAGGUAUAAAUGGUCUUGGAGAAUGACACGCUAAUCUAGUAAGUAUCACCUCUGAAUUGGUAUUUACGUUGUGUCUUUAAGAAGUUGUUUCAAUGCUCCCAGAGACCGGCAGCUUCUGAGGAGUGACCAGUCCUGCUCCUUGUUAUAAUGUAAAUCCUCUGAGACGACACAAUGUUGUAUGGAAUCCCAUACUGCUGGGUCAAACAUUCAUAAUAUUUCAAAUUGUGAGGGCUUAUGGAAUGACCUUGUUGCAGAAUUCCUGGGGCCUGAGUUAUGACUCUUCCUCUGGUUUUUUUUUAAACAAACUCCACUUGGCAUCCUUUUGCCAACACUAAUAUCUCCAAUACCAUAUGGCCUGCCAGAUCAUAUGUCCCCAGGUGGUAAUGUUUCAGGUAGACAGGUAUGAGCUAGCCAGGAGAAGGUUCUCCCUGCACCACCAGAAAUGUCAGGCAAUCAUCAGGUGAUGGUUUGGCAGUUAUAUUGCCUCUCAAAAAAUGGUAAUUUGGCAGCUGGCACCAGGGAGAGACAAUCUCCUGAUGGUCCACAGCUGUCACACUAAAGUGUUAAUUGAAUGCAGGUGCCAAGGGGAGGCAACUUCUUAAACAGAUAAAAACACUUGAGAUUGGUAAGCAGCUUCCAAUAAAAUCUCAGGAAUUGGGUGAGUGAGCGCAGGCAUGCAAAUUAAGAGACAAAAUGGCAGAGUAUGACCUUCUGGGGGCAUUCCACCAGAAAAGGGAAGAAAGCCUCAGAUGGGCAUGUGUACAACUUUCUAAACACACUGAGCAUGCUGCAUACUGCAUAUGUGGCCAGCCCUCCCUAUGGGAAGAAUCAUGGGAAAAAGGAACAAGACACUGGGAGUGGGCCAGCCUAUAAAGUCCCAGAAUCAAAGUUAAAUGCCACACUUAUCGUUCAAGUUGCCCACCUGGGUCUCUUCCACGUGUAUUUACUUUUCUUUCCUGUUGAAAAGCCUUUUUAAAUAAACUUCCACUCCUGCUCUGAAACUUUCCUUGGUGUCUUUUUCGGCCUUAUGCCGCUCAGUCGAAUUUUUUCUUCCGAGCAGGCAGGAAUUGAGGUUGCUGUAGACCCAUAUGGGUUCGCCCCCAUAACUCAAG